AAACGAUUGAAGUCAGUCGUGUUCAUUGGAUUCAGCCGGUCUUCGGUGUAUUUCCUUUGAACGGGUCAACAUCAGUUUUGUCCGGUGGAUAAAGGUAGUAGGAAGGUGGCUCUUUCGGGAGUGUUAUAGCCUAUUGCCACAUACACUGGGGGAGACUGAGGACUGCAGCUUGCCUUUAUGGCCGGGGUUCGCCCACGUUCAAGCUUAGGAUGUUGACAUAAUGGCUUUAAACGA
rnacentral:rRNA from 1 species